rnacentral:lncRNA from 1 species
CCAGCACCCAUGCAGGCGGCCCACAGCCACCUCUAGUGCCACUCCGGGGUAUCUGAUGCCUCUGACCUCUGCUGGCACCUUAACUUAUGUGCCCUUAGCCACACAGAGAUAAACGCACAUGCCCAUAAUUAGAGAUGAAAUAAAUCUUUAAAAAUGUUAAAUUAAGAGUAUUCGAAAAGCUUGAUCAGAACCUCACAAGAAGGUAUCUACCAUCCGAGGCCCAUCCCGGUCCAGUUCUAGAAGUGUGCACAUCAGAAAAGUCACCACGGUGGUUUUUGUCUGCUCCUCCUUAGACAAUGCUUCUGCCCCAUUCAGUCCCAGUUUCAGUGGCAGGAGCAGGGAGAACGAUCAGAGUCAGACAACAGUGCUUCUGCCACACCAGCAUCUAGAGUCCUGCACUGUCCCUCUUUCCUACAAGUUGCACCUACACAUUCACAAGAAAUCCUCUGCUCCCAUCACUGGCUGAGGUAGGGGCUUCCCACAAGCCAUCUGGGUCUCUUUCUGUGGUCCUUUCUCAAGUUUUUUUUAAUUUCAUUAUUAAUUCUUAAUGAGCUCAUAACAUUGCAGAUACCCGUCCAGUUACAGUCUGCAGUGCAAACAGCUGUGAUUGGACCCAUGUCUUCGAAUGCUUACUUUGUUUUGAGUCCU